rnacentral:rRNA from 1 species
UGAGGUCAGGCAAGAACACCCG